GAAAGCUCACUCUCCUUUGGCUCCUUGCCGUGUGGGACUGAGCAACUGCUAGAUCCUUGGACUUCCAUUCUACAGCUGCUACUGACUGUUGUUGGGUGUUGGACUGCAGGCUUGACCGGAAGCCCAUCACAGCAGAAAAGAACAGAGCACUUUAACCUAUAAAGACAAAGAAUUCUUCAGUUUGCAGUUGCAGUUCCUGCCCAAUGGUUUCUUUUGCUCAGUGGACCGUUAGUAAAAUGCGUGGGAAAAGUUGGACUGAAAAUGGGGAGAGAAGGAGUCCCCUCCACAACCUCAUGCUCAAGAGAUUCAGAGGGAGCACCCUCAAAAACCAAGUGCUAAAGAGGCUCAGAACGAGGACCCUCAAGAACUUCGUGCUCAAGAGAUUCAGAGGGAGCACCCUCAAGGACCAAGUGCUCAAGAGACUCAGAGCGAGCAACCUCAAGAACUUCGUGGUCAAGAGACUCAGAGGGAGCACCUUCCACAACUUCAUGCUCAAGAGACUCAGAGGGAGCACCCUCCAGGACCUCGUGUUCAAGAGACUAAGAGGGAGCACCCUCAAGAACCUCAUGCUCAAGAGAUUCAGAGGGAGCACCCUCCAGGAUCUCGUACUCAGGAGAUUCAGAGGGAGCACCCUCCAGAACCUCAUGCUCAAGUCACUAAUAGGGAGCACUCUCCAGGAUCUCGUGCUCAGGAUAUUCAGAGGGAGCACCCUCCACAGCCUCAUGCUCAGGAAACUCAGAAGGAGCUCCCUCUGUGACCUCAUGCUCAGGAUACUCAGAGGGAGCACUCUCCAAAACCUCAUGUUUAAGAGGAUGACGGUGAUUGAACCUUAUAUCAAGGUAGAACCGUGAGUCUGGUACUGUAGCAGCCAGCCAAUACCUUUCCAUCCACUCAGGAAUUAGCCUGUUCUGUCACGUCACCCCAAUGUCUCUACCAAACAUUUCAGGAAGACAAAGAAAAAUCUGUCUCUUCUGGCCAAGAUUUGAUUGACAAGCCCAGUUUCUCUAUUUUUUUGUCAGUGCAUCCCAACGUAGGAUCAAUCACAAAAGGCCAAAUAUGUUCCACAAACCAAUCAUGUAGGAGCUCUGCUGAAACUUACAGCCUUCAUCUUUCCGGUGACAAAGGCUUCCAAUCCUGACCUUCCCUAUUUCCACUGUGCUGUGUUCCAGUUCCCAGCCUGCUCUCAACACUUUGCCAUAGUGGAGAUAAUGGAGAUAUCGCGACCUGCCAAGGCAUAGCGACCUGGGAACAAACAGCCAGCACCUACUCUAUCUUGUGUGAUCUUCAUUUACUUAAUAACUGCAAGAAAAUUGUUGAAUUGAGAAUGAAACUGAGUAAUGAGUUAUCUCCAGGGAAUCCAGACUAAUACUCAUACAGCUCCGUUUCUGUCUUCAGUUUUCGUAUGAAUGAUUUUGAUGGCCUCACUCAUUGUUGAUAGCUCCUACUGAAAUUACUUGUCCUUUUCUAGUCUCUGUGUUGUUCUUAGUAAAACCAUGGACAAAAA
rnacentral:lncRNA from 1 species